GGGUCAGUAGGUUGGUCGUGCCACCGGUACGUACUGGUCUCACUGAUUCCUCCUUCCUGAAGAACCGUAAUGCCAUUAACUUGGUGUUGCGGGGAAACAGGACUGUUACUUUGAAAAAAUUAGAGUGUUUAAAGCAAUCUAACGCUUGAAUACAUUAGCAUGGAAUAAUGAAAUAGGACGAUCGAUCCUAUUUUGUUGGUUUCUAGGAUUGACGUA
rnacentral:rRNA from 1 species